rnacentral:rRNA from 1 species
UACGUAGGGUGCGAGCGUUGUCCGGAAUUAUUGGGCGUAAAGAGCUUGUAGGCGGUUUGUCGCGUCUGCUGUGAAAAUCCGGGGCUCAACCCCGGACUUGCAGUGGGUACGGGCAGACUAGAGUGUGGUAGGGGAGAGUGGAAUUCCUGGUGUAGCGGUGAAAUGCGCAGAUAUCAGGAAGAACACCAAUGGCGAAGGCAGCUCUCUGGGACGGUACUGACGACUGGAGACGCGAAA